rnacentral:rRNA from 1 species
UCGCUAGGUGUCGGCCACGGUGCGACCGUUGUCGGUGCCGUAGGGAAGCCGUGAAGCGAGCCACCUGGGAAGUACGGCCGCAAGGCUGAAACUUAAAGGAAUUGGCGGGGGAGCACCACAACGGGUGGAGCUUGCGGUUUAAUUGGAUUCAACGCCGGAAAUCUUACCGGGACCGACAGCAAUAUGAAGGCCAGGCUGAAGACUUUGCCGGAUUAGCUGAGAGGUGGUGCAUGGCCGUCGUCAGUUCGUACUGUGAAGCAUCCUGUUAAGUCAGGCAACGAGCGAGACCCACGCCCACAGUUGCCAGCGUACUCUCUGGAGUGACGGGUACUC